CGGAGAUGAAUCUGCUUCAGGAAUCAAGGGCUGUGAGUUGGGAAACACAGGCAUGGACUGUUAUUUGUUCUAUAUACUUAAACAACUGACCCUGUCUCUCUCCUGUUUGGUGGAAUAUGUCAUAUUGAGCAGUUUUGCUGCAACAAGGCCUUUGGUUUUGAUGUUCCUGCCUUGGAGCCAGCAGACCAUGGACUAAAACCUCCAAGACUCUCUGGAGCAACCUUGAAAACUGACAUCCACACAUGUUCAUGUGGCAAAUAAUGAGUUUUGUAGCUACUAGAGAAGGAAGAAUGAAGUUGAAGCUCCUUUGAAGAUGUGUACCAAUAUCAUUGUAACUAUUUGACCUAUGUCAUGGUUUCCUGGGAGACUCCAUUCAUAAACCUUAUCUUCAUUUG